GGACUCUAGGAGUCCCUUCCGCUCAUUUGUAGAGAACAUAGUGCUGCUUAUCUGCUGUGAUCGAUCCAGUUUCGAAUUGACUCGAGCUUCAUACUGGCCCAGGAUGAAGGAAGUACUUCCUGAAGAAUAUAGGAAUGGAAAUGACUUUGAGGUAUAAAUACAUAACAAGAGGUCCCAAAACUGAGAGACCUGCAAGGACAAAUAUGUAUUCAAUGGGACAUGAAGAAACUGGUCCUUGAGAGACAGUUUUGGACCAGGGAUGAAGUAGCCCAGCUUAGCAGUAGCGCCACAUGUCCAACAUGUUCAACACUGCCGCAAAUCAGAGAAUCGAUUCUUCCACUGUUUUGCCAGGUACAAGUCUCCUGCUGUGACUUUGCCAGUGCUUCUUUUUUUCAUUGUUGGCUGCUGCAAGGUAGUACAUGAAGGUAAAGAAAAGAAACUGAACCAGUUAUGCGGUCCUCUAAAAAGGUUCAGUUUGAGAGUGCUGUGAGUGGCUUAAACCAAAUUUGUUUAUACAGUCUGGUGCUUUGACAGUCUGUAGCUGCGAUUUCUGUUUCAGCUGACCCUGCUCCUAUCUUGUUCAUUCUUGCUAUAUCUUCCUUACGUAUUUUCUCUUCCAGGCCCAAAUAUUCCCUCUCUUUUCAAUGAAAAAAUGUUAGUACUUUUCCUUUCCCCAUCAGUGUUUUAAUGGCAAAUAUCAAAUAACAGGAAGAAAUUUCCUAAUCUAGAUUAAAUCACCAUUAGAUUUGGAUUAUGUUAGAUGUCCUUUAAUCAAGAUACAAGUUGAAAAUAGUGCCAUCAUUUUAGGAGGGUGAAGUCCAUGUUUCAUGGCUACAGUGCAAAUCAUCUCUGGGUUCCUGUUGCCUUGCUUUGUUGUAGUCUUAGUGAUCUUCGUCUGUGUUUGCUCGCUCCCCUAAAUAUGUGUGACUGUAUAACACUACUUUUGCUUGUCAUAGAGUCAUGUCAAAAAGAAUCAUUGAUGUCUUAUUAACAUGUCAGACUCCCCGUGUUCAUGGAGCAUCUCCUAUUGUGCAACAGCCUUCAUAGUUCUUAAAUGCCAAACAAAAAAGUUAAUUCAUAUGUGUUGCUAUGUCCUAAGCGCAGAAAGAAAAGGAUGAUUUUAGCAGCACAUCCCGUCAUGUUGGCAGUUUCCAAAAUUCACCUUUGAAGAUGAUCUGGGAAACAUCUUAUUUCUUCUUCAGGAUGUAUAACUCUAGCACUGUCCAGGAAGAUUUGCUGCUGCUUCUUUUGCAUUCUUGUCAUUGAUACUAUUAGAGCGGCCUGCGCGUUUUACUCCUACCUGACACUCGUUGUUUUCCCUGUCUGAUCCUAGGCAUACAUAUGCUUUUGCUUUUCAUCUCUGAAGUUCACUCAGGUUUCUUUAUUGUAUUCAGAUGUUGGUGCAGAUAAAAAUCCACUCCUUGCAAAAUGCAAGUUUUGACUGGCAGGAGAAAAUCAGUUUUUAUUUUGUUAAAGCUCUUAAUAAUGCCAGUACUACUAUUGAAUUUUAUCCACACUUAACAGAUAUCCUGGGAAAGAAGACAAAGAUGUCAUUCUUUGCCAGAGUGUGCUUCUAAAAGGCUUUCUCCCAAGUGUUCUUCCCCAAAUCUUUUCCUUCCAGGCAACUGUGGGAUAAGAGAUGCUACUGCAGAAAAACACUGUAUUAAAGGUAGGAAAUUGUUAGGCAUAAUUAUCCGAACUGUACGCUAACACUGCUGUUCAAAUAACAAGCCAAACAUUUUUCUUUCUGAAGCAUGCUAUAUGUUUCUCAGCUACCCACUGAUAUUGUAUUCAGAAUGCCAUAGGCAUAAACAUUUACCAUCAAACCAGAAGAAAUGCAUAGGCCUUUUGUAGACUUAUUCAUGAAUUGUUACAUCUGUAUUAAGGUCCACCAAUAAGCUUUGAGCUUUGCAUACCAGGAAUACAUGAUCACUGAAAAAACAAGCAUGUGUCCCUGCCCUGAAAAUAAGUGAUUUAAGCAUGAACCAAACAGGUAGGAGAAGAAUUCAUCUCUCUUCCCAGGGUUUGAGAGAGCGCCAAACAGAGUUAACAGGAAGCUUCCCCUUGACUUUAAUAGAGCUGGAAAGGACCAGUGAAAUGGAUUUGCACUGAUGAUGGCAAGGACGUUACGCUUGCUUUGAACAACAUACUUAAAAGAAUCGAGUCCUUAAGUCUCAAUAAGGCAGUAUGAGUUAGGGAUUAAAUUCUGCCUCAAUUUCCGGUUUAAUAUGCUGGCUUUACAUUGGUGCUGUGUCUUGGUACACUGAAAACAAGUGAAUUUAUUUUAGAGAAGCUGUAAUAAAGUCAUGAUUCAGCCUGAGAUAAGAUUGAUCUAGUUGGAUCUUGUCCUUACAGAAAGCUUUCCAAAGAGGACCAGAAAGAUGGCUGAACAGAUGCGCCUGCUGCCACAGCAGGAAAGAAACGUGAAAACAGACUGUUGCCACCUGGAGCAAUUGCCCUAAUGCAGCCUAGUAACAGCUAGCAUUUAUAAGGCCUGUUUUGUUUUAAUUCUUCCCCUUGGUCACAGGGAGAGAGGACGUGCAAAAUAAUGGAAAGAUUCUGUGCUGUUAGGCCUACUGGGAGAAGGGUUUUCCUUAUUAUCUGGGCUACUGCUGGGACAGCCGUUCAUAAAGUUGAUGAGGAGACAGAAGACUACUAUGAUAUUUCAGCCAAAAAGGAAGGAAGAUUGAGGUCCUUCCUAGAAAUUUAGAAGAGCAUUUUACAGUGUUUUGCUGUAAGAAGUGCAAACAGAAAAGCCCACUGUUGGGAUUUUGGUGCAGUGAAGAGGUUUCUGAGGAGAAUUUAAUCCGAGUGUUCAGGGACUUGAUCUGAGUUUCUGGUCCUGCCUUGUAUUUCUUUUGUCACAUUGGCAAUUAAUCUCUUAUUGCUUAGGUUCUUCUGUAGAAAGGGAAUUACACUUCUCUGCCUCACAAGCAGAUGACUUCAAGAUGACUUCAAGAGAGAUUUUUUGGUGUCCAGAUCCAAAGGCGAUGGAGCCCCUAGCGCAGAAAUGGAAAACUGAGGUAGCAGCGUGAGUGACACAUCCACUUUAAUGUUUGCUACCGACAGUUUCUACAAAAAAUGCUUUCACUCUGCUCUCUAUCCAGGCACCCGCCUUCUCGUGAAAGCUCAGUGUUCCUCUGUCCUUUCCCAGUUUAUCAUCUGACAUUGCUCACUAUCAAGUUUCACAUUCCUGUUUGUCUCCACAGGUAGCAACAAUGCAAUCCGUUCUGCGUUAGGCAAAGAGACCAGGAAUUUACACGUUGUCUUUAAUCAGCAGGGCAGCUACAAAAGAGUUUUCCUUCUGGGAAAUAGUAUUGUUGACCAAGCAGCACUGCCUAGUUGUGUGCAGACUGUCUGUAGGCUGGAGCUCAGAUGCAUACCAUAAGCCAACCUCUAAGCAAUAUUUUCAGUCAGGGAAAGGUUUGAAUGAGAGCUUGAGGCCUAGGGAGUCAUGAAACCACAGAUGCAGCCUGCGAUACUCUGCCUGCCUCCAGGUUCAGAGCCAAUCUUCCAAAAGAGACCUGACGAGCCAGUUUUGAUUUUUCCUGUCAAGUUGCUCAAAACAUUUUUUUGAAUCAUUGCAUUAAUGAUGGCAGAUCAAGACGCUUUUAAUAAGUUCAGUCCAUCCGAAGUUUUAACCUUCUGUCGUAUUUCAUUACUUUUUAUUCAAUUUGUCAGAAUUUAUCUUAAGGAUUUAAUUGUUAAGCCUCAAGCCUAAAGCUUAUAUACAUAUAUGUAGAAUCAUACAUACUGGGUUAAUGUCUUAAGUUCAAAGUCACAGUUUACCUUGCCUCACUUUUAUAUAAACUGCUGCAGCUCUUAUCAGCCUGCUAGCUGUAAAAAACUUCUCCCACUCCUCUUUACGGAAGCCAAAGAAGUGGAAGGUGCUCAGCGCUGCAGGACAGGCGAGUCUGUCACUGUACUAUUGCUAAAAUAAAGGUAAUUAUUUGCUGCAGUAUCUCUUGCCAAUAUCUUCGUUUAUAUAAAGCAUGCGGCAGUACCCCGUGGUAUAUAUGGAGAAGAUGCCUAGAGCUGUUAUCAGGACCUAGCUACUUAGUGAUUUCACUGCUGUACUCAGACACGCUUAAUUUUUUUCGGGCUUAACGUUUUAAUAGCAUGCCACCAUUAAUAGAUUUCAUGCCUGUUGAGGACAAAAGAUUAGGCAGGACAGACUUUUUAGUCUGAACCAGUAGAGCCAUUCUUACCUAUACUUUAUCUUUCUCUGUAAAAGAUGAGGCCUAAUUCAUCCUUCUGGAAAUAUUGUCCCUAACCACACACUGCUGUUCUGUCUCUGCAAGAGAAAUUGCACUAAGGAGUCUCAGUAAGACUUGGUACUUUUUGCAAGUACUUAUUUAAGGGACAUUAUAUAUCAAAAGAUCACUGAAUUUAUGGCAGUUUGGUAAUCAAGUCCAUUUGAAUUAACAUGAUUAAAACUGCAAUAAAGGAGGUUUCUAUGCACCAAACUUCUCAGCAAUCCUGUUUCCUGCUGUGUGUAUUGAACACGAGAAAGUCUGCCUUCAUGUUCUUUUCAAGUUACUCCACAAGAGAUUUAAAGAUUUACUUGGAUCACGUAUUUUAUUGCUUAAACGCAUACCUGUGCAUGGCUAAAUCACACUUAAAGUUAGCCCAGUGUCUUUCAACUUUUAGCCAUAAUAAUAAAAGCUGCACUUCCCCACAGAAACCUGUCCUUUUGCUCUCAUUUUUCUGUAUUUUUCUCAAGGCUUUUGAUAUUAAUUCUCCCAGGAGUGAACACUACAAAGAUGUAACAUCAGCUUUGAUGUAAUUUAUCGUAAACUCAGCCCAUGGUUCGUGCAAGAAGCCGCAGAGACUGACAGAAAGACUCUGUGUCAUUCUUAGAUUUCCAUGGAUACCAUAUCCUGAGAUAUGCUGUGGGAUCACCUGGUAUUUAGGGCUGGUUGCUUAACCUUUGAAUCUAGGCAUCAUACUGGUACAAAAUGGUAAGGCAAUAAUUACCAGAAUUAGAAAAAAUAAUAGGAGUUUAUUAAUGAAUCAUCUUCCCCCCUCAAGCUGUACUGUAGCAAGAAAUAAAUCACAGUAAUAAUGAACAGCGUUAUUAUUGGACCAUAUUAUGAACACUAGUGAUUUUGUACCAAGCUUUUACUGUCAAGGGAAUGGUUCAUUAACCGCAAAGAACACUUCACAUUAGGGAUUCAGUUUAUCUGGCCAAUUUAGACAUUGUUUAAGUAAUUUUUAAUUAAAAAUGGGAUUCUGCACUUCGGAUGGUGUACUGGUUCAAAGGAAUUAUAAGCAAAAUUACUACAAUCAAGUUGUUAGUAAAUGUUUUUGUUCCAGAUAAAGGUUGGACACUGGUCAAUCUGUUAAGCAGCCAUUCUGGCCUGCCCUGCAGUUUUCAUUCUAAUUAGUGGGGGGGUGGAUGGGAGGAGAGGAGAAAGACAAAACCUUUCCAUAACAUACAAAGUUUUUAUUUGGCAAGAGGUGAGUAAAGGGAAUUCCCUGGCAAGUGGGGAAGGAAGAAUUUUGCUUGUAACCUUAAUAUCAAAACCUGAUUUCUUUUGAUCAUGACAGCUGCAUGUCACGUUAUUUGCUGUGCUUAAUAUCCUUUCUGGGAUGAGACUGAAGCUGAGGGAAAAAGAAAUGUCCCUUUUAUUGUUCACAGUAUUUUGUCCCAUUAAUGAAAAUUGCCUUUAGUCUGGAGUGGAGCCCUAGCCUGCCAAGCACCA